GGAUGUGAGGGUGAUCUGACUGUGACAUCUGUCACCCACUGAUUGCCAGAGUUUAUUCAGCUGAUGUAGCUGCUAGGCGGGAGUUCCUCCCUCAGCCCUCUCUGUCUUCCCUCCCUGAAGCUGCGGGCUGAGGUCGAAGAGGACGACCACCCCCAUGGAGGAGGACACUUUCUUCAGCCAAGGGUAUACAAGUACCUGCAUUUCCAUGCUAGAAUCUCCAAACAAGCUCUCUCAAAACAAUAAAAAAAAAAAAAACGCUGUUU
rnacentral:snRNA from 1 species